AGGUUUACACGCGCGAGUUGACCGGAGCUUCCUUCCGCAUUUGCUUCAGCGGCUAACUCGGCGUCAUUACGACGCCGUUUCGCUAUCGCGUUCCCAUCUCCAGUUCGUUUCAUAGCCGGCGAAGAAUUUCUUCGUUACUUUACUUCCAAGCGGAGUCCAGGGCAAAAUUUCACAGUAGUGCGCAGCUUCAGUUCAAUAUACCCUAGCGCCUCUCUUCCCCCACAGGGCUCUUUCCCGUAUGAACGGGGCCCAUAUCGCCGCCGCCUCGCCGGAGGCCGGCGGGUCGUCCUCGUCGGCCUCGUCUUCCGGCGUCUCGGCGUCCGGGCGCUCCUGGCUGCUCAAGGGGGUGCACCUGCGGCGGCGGCGCCGGUGGCGGCGGCAGGUGGCCGUUAGGGGAGGGGUGAGAGCCGAUGGCGGCGAUGUGCAGGAUCUUGCGCUGCCUCUCGGGAUGUCCUUCGCGGCGGUGCUUGCCCAGGUUGUAAAUAGAUGCGCUGGUUCUGAAGGGGGAUUACGACCUGAUGUCCUCUCAAAGAUGUGUACCUCGGCAGUGAAGGAGUCCUUAACAAAUAUUUAUGGUGACAGAUUUCAUAGCUUCAUGAGUAACUUUGAGAAAGCUUUUGGUAGUACAUUGAGAACCAUUCACCUUAUCAAUGAAACGCCUGUUUUUGAGCAAGAUGUGGAGCAAUGUUCUUACAAAGAUGAUGAUUCUGUACCUCAAAUCAAGUUGGGUGGUGCUGAUUCAUUACCUGAAAUAAAGGUCUAAUCCAGAAAUUGGUCAGCACAUCCUUAGUGUAUUUGAGAGAUCGCUGAAUGAGCAAGCUCGUUCAAAUGAGCUCAAAGAGCUUGAAAUAGGACUUACUAUGAGAAAAUUGCAAUUGAGUCGAUCUCAGUUAGCUCUGAGCUCUGAAUCACAAAUGUUAGAGAAGAUCAAAGUUCAUAUGGGAUUUCAGAAAGCCUCAUUCAAAGAGAAGAAAUUCAAGACUGAAAUGGAGGAUACAAAGCAUGCAGAACUUUUCAGGAAACUUAUAGAUAUGCUCCUUACUGCAGUGGUACUCAUGUCUGUCUGUUUUGGAUAUGGAACAUAUAUUUAUUCGUACCAGCGGAUAACUGCUGCUACUUCAGCUUGUGCAGCAAUUUCAAGGGAGUAUACAUCUUGGUGGAUGCCAAGUUCAGUGUCAGCAAUCAACUCCGGUUUGCUGCUUUUCAAAUGCCAUGUGAUAGCCGCAACAAGGAUAUUCUUUGGAAUUUUGAUGCUCCUACUAAUCGGUUGGUUGAUAUUCCAGCGUUCUGCAAUGACUGGACCAAACAUGCCAGUAACAUUCAAUGUUAUGAUAUUGGGAGUUCUUUGUGGUUAUUUUGGAAGCUGCUGUGUUGACACACUGGGCGGGGAUGGAAAUGUAUGGCUUAUAUACUGGGAGGCCCUUUGCUCCAUCCAUUUACUUGGAAAUAUUUGGCCAUCUCUUUUACAUCACAUGCUGUAUGGUCCUAUUUCUGUGACUCACAGGACCAAGGCUGGUCAUUUGCCAUAUUGGGCCCGCCGAUACACAUUUUACAUUUUGGUGUCACUUAUUCUGCCAUGCUUGGCUGGUUUGCUGCCAUUUGCAUCUCUGUCAGACUGGAAAGAGCUUGCUGUUCAAUAUUUGAAGUCCAGAUUCAGUGGAAUUAAUAUUGAGGAUUGAUUAUUGAGAGAUUGGUUGUGGUUACCGGUGUAAUCUCAAUCCCAUUUUGCGAAGGUGUAAAGGUUUUUUCUGUUUGUCACAUAUGAAUUGUAUAUCAUUGUAGCGAAGGAGGGAAGAUUUUUUUGUUUGGCUUCCUUUCAUCCUCGGACUGAAGAUAUGUAAACAAAGUUGUUGGAAUGACAACAAAAUAUCUCCUUUCCUUGGUAGUGGAAUAUCAGAUGGGCUAGGUUCUGAUAGUUGUGCUCCUAUGCGCACUGCUACAGAUAUCAAGAGCAAGGCACUUCAUAUCGGGAAGCUUAGAAAUAUAAUACAGUGUGCAAUUUCAUUGCAGAUUUUUUGUGACCCUUUUUGUGCAAGGACAUUGUCCACAGUGAUUGUUAUCUGAUGAUUUCUCUUCCCCUCUCUUCUCAAUCAUCUAGGUUGCAGUUCUUCUCUUCAGUGGGAAUCCACUCUACAUUGAAAGUUUUGCUUGCAUAUAGUCCUUCAGAUGCAUGUAUGUUGUAAAAGGAUGCUCAGAAGCGCAAUGUAUCAUUUCUAUUUAGUUGUACACAUUAUUUAGUUCCUGCAGCA